rnacentral:rRNA from 1 species
AGUGAACGCUGGCGGUAGGCCUAACACAUGCAAGUCGAACGGCAGCACAGUAAGAGCUUGCUCUUACGGGUGGCGAGUGGCGGACGGGUGAGGAAUACAUCGGAAUCUACUUUUUCGUGGGGGAUAACGUAGGGAAACUUACGCUAAUACCGCAUACGACCUACGGGUGAAAGCAGGGGAUCUUCGGACCUUGCGCGAUUGAAUGAGCCGAUGUCGGAUUAGCUAGUUGGCGGGGUAAAGGCCCACCAAGGCGACGAUCCGUAGCUGGUCUGAGAGGAUGAUCAGCCACACUGGAACUGAGACACGGUCCAGACUCCUACGGGAGGCAGCAGUGGGGAAUAUUGGACAAUGGGCGCAAGCCUGAUCCAGCCAUACCGCGUGGGUGAAGAAGGCCUUCGGGUUGUAAAGCCCUUUUGUUGGGAAAGAAAGGCAGCAGGUUAAUACCCCGCUGUUCUGACGGUACCCAAAGAAUAAGCACCGGCUAGCUUCGUG